UUGCUGGCAUUUGGGCAGAGGGUCCUGGUAGCGUGCUGUGGUGUGGGGCUCUGGCAUUUGGAAGCUGAAGCCAGUGGUCACCAGCUCUGUAGACUUCCUGUGAACUCAAAGGAUUUGUAUCUGGAUUCUCCAAUCAAGGGCGAUGGCUGCUGCUCCUCGUGGCCUCCCUGUGCUGCUUUUUGCUGGGCACACGGAGCUGCUCCGACCAGAGGAGAGCAGAGGAGGGAAGGAAGAGCUUUGCCAUGCACCGGCAGCAGCAGGCAUGGGUGUGCAGCACUGCAGAAACCUCAUCCCAAGCAGCACUCCGCUGGCAUCGUUAGGAGCAGGGCACUGCCAUCAGCACUGCUGCCUCCAGCUGCUGAGCUCUGCUCCUCAGGAAAACCAGGUGGAGGAAAGAAAUUGCAGCCCCAAAGGGGAGGAGGGUGUUCAGCAGCUCUCCCUGCAGCUCUCUGUGCAUGCUCUCCGUGCAGGUUGUCCAUGCAGGCUCUGCAUGCAUGCUCUCCGUGCAGGCUCUCUGUGCAUGCUGUCCGUGCAGUCUGCCCAUGCAGCACACUCUCCUGCCUCCCCUCCAGGCCACUGUGGUUCACAGCAGCAGAGGAGCCUUGGUAGCCUUGGGAGAAAUUCUUGACAUGCAAACAGUUUCAGACUGCACACAGCCCAACAUUGCUGCAGUGAAUCUGGUCCAGGGGUACUUGUGGUGCAAAAGCCUUAAUGAGAAAAUACUCUUUGCCUCCCCCAUUGCCUGUGGGACAGCUGGCAUGGUGCAGGGCUGGGAAGGAGCAUGGCUGCAAGGAGGCUCCUCCUUUGGGCGGGAGAGUCUUUCUUCCAUUGGGAAACCAUAAAGAAAAGCAUUGCACAAUCUCAGCCUAAUUAGCAAUUGCAACUUUUCUUUUCUUUUU
ensembl:lncRNA